rnacentral:rRNA from 1 species
GACGAACGCUGGCGGCGUGCUUAACACAUGCAAGUCGAACGGAAAGGCCCUUCGGGGUCCUCGAGUGGCGAACGGGUGAGUAACACGUGGGUGAUCUGCCCUGCACUUUGGGAUAAGCCUGGGAAACUGGGUCUAAUACCGAAUAGGACCACGCGCUUCAUGGUGUGUGGUGGAAAGCUUUUGCGGUGUGGGAUGGGCCCGCGGCCUAUCAGCUUGUUGGUGGGGUAAUGGCCUACCAAGGCGACGACGGGUAGCCGGCCUGAGAGGGUGACCGGCCACACUGGGACUGAGAUACGGCCCAGACUCCUACGGGAGGCAGCAGUGGGGAAUAUUGCACAAUGGGCGCAAGCCUGAUGCAGCGACGCCGCGUGAGGGAUGACGGCCUUCGGGUUGUAAACCUCUUUCACCAGGGACGAAGCGUAAGUGACGGUACCUGGAGAAGAAGCACCGGCCAACUACGU